rnacentral:tRNA from 1 species
UUUCCUAUGGCUCAGAUAAUAAAGAAUCUGCCUGCAAUGCAGGAGACCUGGGUUCAAUUCCUGAGUAGGGAAG